CUGUGGGUGAAAGAAUUCAUUUUUCAGACAUGAGCCUCCACCCAUUGUGUGCUUAGAAGCCUGUCUCUCUUAACCUUUCUCUGGGAUGGCAGAUGCAAAUGUUCCUGAUGUCACUGUCAGGAAAGGGGAUUGAGUGGGUAUGUUCCAUGCUUGAGUUCUGGAGCCUAGGAGAGUUACAAACUAGAGUCCAGUACCUUAUUCAUCAUUCUCCUGUGUGAACAGCUGUGGUGUGAGGUCCGAGCCUAGGGUCUUCCUACCAUCUCUGAGGGAACAAAAUUCUCAACCAGCCUGAGAUGUUUCUGUUAUAGUGAGGCGUAAUUUUUGGUGGUGGUGGUGGGGACUCAGGUGUUAUUUCCACACACUUUGUUUUAAAAGCUAGACAUCUUACACGGGAGAGGUGGCAUGGUGAGUCAGUGUGGGAUCAGAAGAACCAGUCCAAAAAGUAGAGUAGGGCAAAGUUCAGGGCAUUGAGGGCUACUGCAUGUGGUGACACGAAAGGGAGAUGUCUGAAUAGGAAGGACAUGCUAUAUUGCUUAUUCUCUCUGGGUCUCAAUUUACUCAUCUAAAAUGGGAUCAUUUAUUCAUUGGACAUUCAUUAAGCUCUUGUCCUGAGCACUGUGUCAGGCACUAGACUAAAAAUUAAACUCUCCCCUGAGAAUUGUUCUGAAGGCUAAAAUGUGAAAUAUGUAAAAAUAACAGUAAAGUGCAAUGCAAAUGCAGCUACUCAAUGUGUGGGCAUUAUAGGGAAUUUUGAUGUUCUUUUUCUUUUCUUUCUCUUUAGUGAGAAUAUUUUUCUUGUGUACCAAAAAGGAAUUUGCAGUGUUGGUUGUUAACAUGAUCAUCAUUGUCACUGCCUUCUUCACUCGCUUUUUUGUUGCCUCCGGGCCAUUGCAGGUUUGUCAUGGGGACACUUCUCACCACCUAAAUGACCAAAGAGAUAAAGCGCUUUCUUAGGACUGGAGUGAAGAAGGCCAAUGCUGGUUUCUCCUAGGGAAAGGGGCUGGAGGAAGGAGAGCACUGAACACAGAUUACUUCUGAGACCUCUGGUCACCAAAAUGUGUGGGGAUGUCUCCCUACAAGCAGUCCUCCAGUGGCCAACGCCAGGGAGGUGUCCGCUAAUUCAGUGAUCCCCAAACUAUGCAUUCAUAUACAUUUAUUGUCUGUGAUGGCCCAUCCCGCCACCCCAUCAGCCGGAGUGCGUGGUCUCUGCUGUGAGCUGCCAUGUGACAGUAAGGAAGAGACGCUUCUCAGACUCAUCUAGAAGAAGCCAAUAGGACCUCACAGGAGCUGAAGGUAAAGUACAGCAAUAUUUGGAGUGUGGCAGAAGACGACUCCAAGAGGACAUGACAGUGGCCUGUGUGGUUUGGCCCAUUGAGGAAGAGCUGGAGAGGACAGCCCAGCCUGCCCGGGAACAGCCACCACAGCGAUCUCAACAGCUAACACGACGGAGCAUACUUUAGGUGCUAUUAAUGUUUUAUCCAGAAAACAGGAGCAAUCAGGAAGGAGCUGCCUUGUGUCUCUACCCCAGGAAUUACAAUCCUAUUUGCAUGUGAACCAUGUACAUCACCUCCCCUACGGGUUCCUUUGCUCUCCUGCGUAGAUGAUGGCUCCUUCCCUCUUACCGCAUGAUUCCUGUGAAUCCACUAAUGUGCUCUGUAGCAUCUCCCAUCUUGAAUGUAAAAUCCCUCUUUCGAUCCCAUGGCUCCUUCCGGCUACCCCUGCAUUUCUCUGUCCCCACCAAGUCCUUGCCUUAUGUUCUCCCCUCCGCCCAGUCCAGUUAGGCUUCUGUCCUCAAGCCCUUCCUCACCGACAGGGUCACUGACAGCCUCUUUCCAGCCAAAUCCAAUGGCCAGGUGCCCGUUACUCAGGUCCUCGUUGGACCUGGCAGGCCAUGUUCUCCUCAUCCAGCUUUCCCUGUUCUCUCCCCUCUCCUGACGUUCCUCUCACCGGGCAGGCUCCUCUGCGUCUCCUUUGAUGCUCCAUCUGUUCCUUCCAGCCUCACUGCACCGUUGUGCCCAGCACUCAGAUUUCAGCCGUUCUCUCUUUUCCAGCUACAGUCUCACAUUAGGUGGCUUCUUGUGUCCCACAGCAUUAUAUGCCUUGUUCAUGCCAGUUACUCCUGAAUCUGAAUCUCAAGGAAGAUUCAAAUUUUAUAGUCAACUGACUAUUUGACAUCUUCACGUGGAUAUCUAAUAAGUAUCUCAAAUAUAACUUGGCCAAAAUACAGAAAUUUUGACCUCCGCACCUUGACCCCUUCUCCAGCCUUCUCCAUUUUCCCUUAAAUGCCCCCAUUUACACAGUUAGUCAGCCCUCAAACCAUGACUCCCCUUGACUCCUCUUGUCCCUACAUUUCCCACAUUGAUGCCACCUGCCGGUUCUGUUGUCUUUGUCCCCGGAAUAUAUUGCUCACCAUUGCUCUCCUGUUACCCUGGUCCAAGAUGCCAUUCACUCCUGCGUAGUCCCUUGCCACAGCCUCUGACUGGUCCCUCUGCUCCCACUCUUGGCACCCGACUCUCCUAUGCCCAGGGUCCAGGUCUGUUCUUUGUACAACAGCUAGAGUGGCAUUUUAAAGCCAUAAGUGAGAUCGUUCCUUCUGUGUUUAAGAAUGUCCUCUGGCUUUGCAUCACACACCACAUCCACCCAGCUCCCACGGAGGUCUGGCCCUCACCUGCCUCCCCAUCCUCCUCUCAGCCCUCUGCCUGCUCACUCUGCUUCAGCCACGCUGGCCUUCACACCGUGCCUCACUCCUGCUAAGCCCACUUUCAACCUCGGGGGCUUUGCACUCUUUGUUUCCUUUUCUUGGCAUGCCACUGCCCCAAAUCCUUGCACGAUUGGUACCCUCUCUACAUCGGGGCCUCUGCUCAAAAUACCUUCUCAGAGGAGCCUCCCCUGGCCACCUCACCUGAAUAGGACCUCUCAUUGCACCCACCCAUUUCUCCUCUAUCCUUUUCUCCUGCUUGGUUAUUUUCCAUCACUGAGGAGGAACUGAACCACAGAAUGUUGGAGCUGAUGACCAGGGCUUGCCCCCACCCCCUCAUUAUUGCAAAGGAGGAAAUGAAGUCAGAGGGAAGAUGGGCCCAGGACUUCCACUCCAGUUCUCUUCCCCACACCCAGGCAUCAAAGGAAGAUUAGGUGGCAUGACUGCGGUCACAGCCCUGACAUCAGCUGUGGACACUCUUGGCGUUCAUCUGACCCAGUGGACACACUCCCCGGGCAGGCAGCCGCAUGAGCAGUGGAGGGAAGGCCAGAGUGGCCUUGGUGUUUCAUCAUGUUUGCUCUUCUCUUAGUCUCCAACAGGUCAGAACAGUAGGCUUCCUACAUCCCUAAUCUUAGGAAGUUAAAUUGCCCUGAGAUAUCAGAACCCCUGGGAUAUGAAACAAAGGGGAAGUAUAAGUGUUCAGUGCCCAGUGAAGGACUCUACCAACUUCUUGUUGUUCUGGUGGUUGUCCAUUCUUUAGCUCCAACAUGACUGAAAGAAGACUUGAAUAGGUGGUUGUUUAAAUCAUUAAAAAUAAUUUUGGGUGAUAGGCGACUAUGUGACUUUUGGCAAGUGAUUUUUGGAAGGAUUUUAAAUAACUGAGUGACAAUGCUCUGAUACACUCCCUUUCAUUUCCAUCUACUUAUUAUUUAUAAGUACCAGCUUUCUCAGAGCUUAUGUUUAAAAAGCCAAAGUAAAAAUAAAGCCAAUAUUGAAUUCUUAUUCUAAUUAGGAGUAAUAUAUAAAUUUAUGAAAUAAUUUUUAAAAGGUCUAUCUCCUUAAGAUAUAUUGCUAAUAAAAAUCAACAUUUGAAAUAUAGUUGUUAUUUUGAUCAAUUGUAUACUAACGAGGAUAACUCAAUCUGGAAAAAUUAAAAAAUGUAGUAUCCUGUGCUUACAUAAAUAUGUAAUAAAUU